rnacentral:rRNA from 1 species
GCAUAUCAAUAAGCGGAGGAAAAGAAACCAACAGGGAUUGCCCUAGUAACGGCGAGUGAAGCGGCAACAGCUCAAAUUUGAAAUCUGGCUUCGGCCCGAGUUGUAAUUUGCAGAGGAAGCUUUAGGCGCGGCACCUCCUGAGUCCCCUGGAACGGGGCGCCACAGAGGGUGAGAGCCCCGUAUAGUUGGAUGCCUAGCCUGUGUAAAGCUCCUUCGACGAGUCGAGUAGUUUGGGAAUGCUGCUCAAAAUGGGAGGUAAAUUUCUUCUAAAGCUAAAUACCGGCCAGAGACCGAUAGCGCACAAGUAGAGUGAUCGAAAGAUGAAAAGCACUUUGAAAAGAGGGUUAAAUAGCACGUGAAAUUGUUGAAAGGGAAGCGCUUGUGACCAGACUUGCGCCGGGCUGAUCAUCCGGUGUUCUCACCGGUGCACUCUGCCCGGCUCAGGCCAGCAUCGGUUCUCGCGGGGGGAUAAAGGCCCUGGGAACGUAGCUCCUCCGGGAGUGUUAUAGCCCGGGGCGCAAUGCCCUCGCGGGGACCGAGGUUCCCGCUCUGCAAGGAUG